UUAGGACACUGAGAUUUUCCGUUGUUGUUACUACAGCAUAAUCAAGACUGUCUGAUUGAUAUACAAUGUUUAGGGAAUUUCCAUCUAUUUAGGUUCGGACUUUUCAAGCUAAAAGUCACAACUCUUCCCAGGUUUGCUUGCAGUAGAAGUAUGUGAAGUGUAUCACGUAGAUGUUGACAAUCAAAUGCUUCUGCAUGAUGUUUGCAUCUGAAAGAGAUCCAUGUGAAGAUAGUGAUUCUGUUGUGUCCAUUAAUGGUAGGGAGAACCAUUGAUGAGGCUGAUGGGGCAAUGCAAUGUUCUUCUCUGCUUGAAGACGUCUACUUGUGAGGGACCUCUGGAAGAAGAGGAAGAAGACUUAGAUUUACUCCCAGUUGGUGGGAAAACAUCCUCUUCCUGCUCAACAUCCUGAAAUUCUCUGGAUCCAGUGAGUGCUGCCCGAAGUCUGGAAGAAUGGCCACAAUUGCCAAAAGUCUAGUACCCAUAAUCUGUAAGAUGGAAAGAUGGCAAUGGUAAGAUAUGAAUCAGCUACUGGGACAGUGUUUGGAAUGUAACCAGUAAGAGAGACAGAACUAGACUAAAAGCAGUCUAGUCUUGAGAUGUCCAGAGAGAGGCCAUGGGCAAAAGAGUGAGAAAGAUUGCUUCAUCAGGGAGCUCACCUCUGUCUCUACGCUCAGGUUCUAUGCUCCAAACUGCA